GCCGCUUUAGCUCAGUUGGUAGAGCACUCGAUUUGUAAUCGAGCGGUCGUCUGUUCGAAUCAGACAAGCGGCACCA
rnacentral:tRNA from 1 species